rnacentral:rRNA from 1 species
GACGAACGCUGGCGGCGUGCUUAACACAUGCAAGUCGAACGGAAAGGCCCUGCUUUUGUGGGGUGCUCGAGUGGCGAACGGGUGAGUAACACGUGAGUAACCUGCCCUUGACUUUGGGAUAACUUCAGGAAACUGGGGCUAAUACCGGAUAGGAGCUCCUGCUGCAUGGUGGGGGUUGGAAAGUUUCGGCGGUUGGGGAUGGACUCGCGGCUUAUCAGCUUGUUGGUGGGGUAGUGGCUUACCAAGGCUUUGACGGGUAGCCGGCCUGAGAGGGUGACCGGCCACAUUGGGACUGAGACACGGCCCAGACUCCUACGGGAGGCAGCAGUGGGGAAUAUUGCACAAUGGGCGGAAGCCUGAUGCAGCAACGCCGCGUGCGGGAUGACGGCCUUCGGGUUUUAAACCGCUUUCGCCUGUGACGAAGCGUGAGUGACGGUAAUGGGUAAAGAAGCACCGGCUAACUACGUG